rnacentral:rRNA from 1 species
AUUGAACGCUGGCGGUAGGCCUAACACAUGCAAGUCGAACGCGAAAGUCCUUCGGGAUGAGUAGAGUGGCGGACGGGUGAGUAACGCGUAGGAAUCUAUCCUGUAGUGGGGGAUAACGUUUCGAAAGGAACGCUAAUACCGCAUACGCCCCAAGGGGGAAAGCGGGGGAUCUUCGGACCUCGUGCUAUAGGAGGAGCCUGCGUCGGAUGAGCUAGUUGGUGAGGUAAAGGCUCACCAAGGCGACGAUCCGUAGCUGGUCUGAGAGGAUGAUCAGCCACACCGGAACGGAGACACGGUCCGGACUCCUACGGGAGGCAGAAGUGGGGAAUAUUGCGCAAUGGGCGAAAGCCUGACGCAGCCAUACCGCGUGUGUGAAGAAGGCCUUCGGGUUGUAAAGCACUUUCAGUGGGGAGGAAAAGCUGGUGGCUAAUAUCCAUCGGCCGUGACGCUACCCACAGAAGAAGCACCGGCUAAUUCCGUGCCAGCCGCCGCCGUAAAAC